UACGAAGGGGGCUAGCGUUGUUCGGAAUUACUGGGCGUAAAGCGCACGUAGGCGGAUAUUUAAGUCAGGGGUGAAAUCCCAGAGCUCAACUCUGGAACUGCCUUUGAUACUGGGUAUCUUGAGUAUGGAAGAGGUAAGUGGAAUUGCGAGUGUAGAGGUGAAAAUUCGUAGAUAUUCGCAAGGAACACCAGUGGCGAAGGCGGCU
rnacentral:rRNA from 1 species